GCUCCCUGAUGUUAGCGGCGGACGGGUGAGUAACACGUGGGUAACCUGCCUGUAAGACUGGGAUAACUCCGGGAAACCGGGGCUAAUACCGGAUGCUUGUUUGAACCGCAUGGUUCAAACAUAAAAGGUGGCUUCGGCUACCACUUACAGAUGGACCCGCGGCGCAUUAGCUAGUUGGUGAGGUAAUGGCUCACCAAGGCGACGAUGCGUAGCCGACCUGAGAGGGUGAUCGGCCACACUGGGACUGAGACACGGCCCAGACUCCUACGGGAGGCAGCAGUAGGGAAUCUUCCGCAAUGGACGAAAGUCUGACGGAGCAACGCCGCGUGAGUGAUGAAGGUUUUCGGAUCGUAAAGCUCUGUUGUUAGGGAAGAACAAGUACCGUUCGAAUAGGGCGGUACCUUGACGGUACCUAACCAGAAAGCCACGGCUAACUACGUGCCAGCAGCCGCGGUAAUACGUAGGUGGCAAGCGUUGUCCGGAAUUAUUGGGCGUAAAGGGCUCGCAGGCGGUUUCUUAAGUCUGAUGUGAAAGCCCCCGGCUCAACCGGGGAGGGUCAUUGGAAACUGGGGAACUUGAGUGCAGAAGAGGAGAGUGGAAUUCCACGUGUAGCGGUGAAAUGCGUAGAGAUGUGGAGGAACACCAGUGGCGAAGGCGACUCUCUGGUCUGUAACUGACGCUGAGGAGCGAAAGCGUGGGGAGCGAACAGGAUUAGAUACCCUGGUAGUCCACGCCGUAAACGAUGAGUGCUAAGUG
rnacentral:rRNA from 1 species